GAUUCUGGCUCAGGACGAACGCUGGCGGCAUGCUUCAUACAUGCAAGUCGAACGAUAAGGUCUCUUCGGAGAUACAUAAGUGGCGGACGGGUGAGUAAUAUGUAGGAAAUCUGCCCUAGAGAGGGGGACAACAGAGGGAAACUUCUGCUAAUACCCCAUAUGAGCGUAGUUGAAAUACUAUUCUUGAAAACUCCGGUGCUCUAGGAUGAGCCUGCAUCUGAUUAGCUUGUUGGCGGCGUAAUGGACCACCAAGGCGACGAUCAGUAGCUGGUUUGAGAGGAUGAUCAGCCACAAUGGGACUGAGACACGGCCCAUACUCCUACGGGAGGCAGCAGUAGGGAAUUUUGCGCAAUGGGCGAAAGCCUGAACCGCAGCAAUGCCGCGUGAACGUAGAAGCCCUUCGGGGUGUAAAGUUCUGUCAGUGGGGACGAAUUUUGACGGUACCCACAGAGGAAGCACCGGCUAACUCCGUGCCAGCAGCCGC
rnacentral:rRNA from 1 species